CUUCAGUGCCUCCUUCUCUUUUAUUCAUUUCUAUCUAUCCUUGUUGUAUUCACCGGCAGUCACGAUAUCUUAGAUUCUUUGUUAUCUUUUCAGUGCAGCGUCUUAACUAUUGCUCCAAGAGCUUCGGGGGCUAAUCAUCUUAUAAAGAUGAACUCGGCAAUCCAGCAAAAACAGCUAGUUGGACUGUUUAUUUAUGUCCCUCAAAUGAGCUGAUUAUGAAUUCCUUGGAUGAGUCGCUAAGUUGCAGUGACUCUCAGGUUUUCCCAUUUGUGAGACAAAGUGGACGAAAUUCCUGUUUUGAUCCGUUCUUGAGCAGCAAAUCAGCUUCUGCCAUACUUCUACGCCUGCCGCCUGAGCUCAUUCGGUGUUCUCUUUGUUGCUGUCCAUUAUGUUUUCUCAGGCUGCGCUACAGAUCUGUUUUCUCCACCUAUUGAACCCCCCGUCCUCAAAACAGUUAGAAACUUCUGCAAUGCAUGAUAAGCCGCAUCUACCUAAUAUUAUCGACAGACUUUUUCUGCCAGGAAAAGAAAUGCCCAAUGAAAGCAAAUCAAUGGGCCAUGGAAGCAGGUCUUCCCAGCAGUGACCUAAUCUGCCUGUUUCAAAAGAAGAGGUUACAAUGACAUGAACCGUAAGACGGGAGAGAGAGCUCGCUAAGCUUGAAUCCCCGCCCGUAUGCUUACCUGCUAGGUCACAUCUCUGAGCUCCAAUGUCCUCAUCUGUGAAACGGUAAGAGCGAUAGUCACCUGACCUGGCUCUUCAGACAAGAUGAUGUAUCUUGCUCAGCACCUGCAGUUUGUAUACAGAAGAGUCAUUGCUUUAACACGGGUUUCAAGGAUGGACCAACUCUCAGAGAAGAUAUAAACUAUGGGUGACCGCAAAAAAGAGGAUGGCAGGGUGAUGACCAACUGCCUCUGAGAAGAGAGAAAAAAGAACAAACAGCUGGCCCCUAGGCUUGUUAGAGAGGCAGAGUGGUAUGGCCCAACAGCAUUCAUUCAUUUUGUCUUUUUUCUCCCAUCUAGAAACACCAAUGUCAUCUUGUCCUAGGCCUGAAUCUUCUGGCCCCCUAGUGUCCUAUUUCACACUCCCACAUAUACACACCAAAUAAAUGCAUAUCAUCCCACACAAACGCAAGCCACCUGACUCACUGAACGUUUGGUGUGACCCUCAACAUUGUUUUUUUUUUCUUUUAAUUCUAAUGCCACUCAUCAAUCAUGGCUAUAAAAUAUAGGGGCAGGUGCACAUUGCCUUUCGGCGGCGGGAUAUGUGUGUGCCAUGUUUGGUGGGCUGGCUGUGGAGCAUUUUCUCUUUGAAUGAAAGAAGUCAUCCUGAACACACAUUCUUUUCUGGUAAUUGCUUUUUCUUCUAGAUCACAAUAUGCCAGAGGACACAUUUUGUGUUGUUUCCUUUCUCUUGGUUCCAUUGCUUAUUAAUGGGUUUUUGAAGUCUGUAUCCUUAGGUUUAUUUCCUGACUUUGGCCAGGGAACUUUACAGGGAGCACUUCUCUGUGAAAACACGGGAGGGCAAACAGAAAUAGCACACCUGGCCAGAUACCUGGUCAGGGAAAAAAGAACCUAACUUCACAAAAUGUCCUCACAGACAAGAUCUAGUUUGCUCCUUUUGAAGACCGAAGACUGGAAGAUCAGGUUUUAUUAUACUGUUUUACAGAUUAAGAACUGACUCUGGGAGGUGAAAAAGA